AUUGAACGCUGGCGGCAGGCCUAACACAUGCAAGUCGAACGAGUGGCGGACGGGUGAGUAAUGUCUGGGAAACUGCCUGAUGGAGGGGGAUAACUACUGGAAACGGUAGCUAAUACCGCAUACUAUCGGAUGUGCCCAGGUGGGAUUAGCUAGUAGGUGUGGUAAAGGCUCAACUAGGAGACGAUCCCUAGCUGGUCUGAGAGGAUGACCAGCCACACUGGAACUGAGACACGGUCCAGACUCCUACGGGAGGCAGCAGUGGGGAAUAUGGGACAAUGGGCGCAAGCCUGAUGCAGCCAUGCCGCGUGUAUGAAGAAGGCCUUCGGGUUGUAAAGUACUUUCAGCGGGGAGGCGUUACCCGCAGAAGAAGCACCGGCUAACUCCGUGCCAGCAGCCGCGGUAAUAC
rnacentral:rRNA from 1 species